rnacentral:lncRNA from 1 species
AGGCCGGGCGCAGUGGCUCACGCCUGUAAUCCCAGCACUUUGGGAGGCCGAGGUGGGUGGAUCACAAGGUCAGGAGAUCGAGACCAUCCUGGCGAACACAGUGAAACCCCGUCUCUACUAAAAAUACAAAAAAAAAAAAAAAGAUCUUGCUUUGUCCCUCAGGCUGGACUGCAGUGAUGGGAUCACAGUUCACUGCAGCCUCAAACUCCUGGGCUCAAGGAAUCCUCC